GCCAUUGUGGCAUAGUGGUUUGAGUGUAGGACUAUAACUCUGAAGACCAUGGUUCAAUUCCCAGCUCAGCUA
rnacentral:tRNA from 1 species